rnacentral:rRNA from 1 species
GAGCAGUCGGGAAUUAUUCUUAAGGGAUCACCUACCCUACGAAAGCCGCGUGGAGGAAGACGGUUUAUUCCCUUGUAAAGCACGUUUACCUCCCAUAACAGCCGUCAUUCCUGAACGAUUGGAAUACCAUGUAAGAGGAAGCCCCGGCUAACUCCGCG